rnacentral:misc_RNA from 1 species
AGACAUCGCGGUCGUAUUCGAGGCUUGCGAGUACCAUCUGAAAACUUCGCUGCACGGUGAAGAAAGACUUCGUGGGCUUGCGAAAAUAAUCGAGCGCGGCCAUCGUCACUGACGGCCAGAAAUCAAUCGCAUGAAAGUGAAGAAUCCCUCCGGCGUCAUACUUUCGCCGCCUCAUUCGCUCGAUCGCCAGUUGAUGAAGCCUCGCAACAUAAGCCUGAGUCUGUGGAAUGUAUUCUUUGAGGGAUUUGCCCGAAGGAACGCCCCACGCGCGCAUCGCUUCUGUGAUCUGCAGCUUGCGGAAGAUCCAUUCUUCUUUGUGGUCUUCGAUGGGCCAGUGGCUGGGAAGAAACUGCAU